rnacentral:rRNA from 1 species
CCUACGGGUGGCAGCAGUGAGGAAUAUUGGUCAAUGGGCGAGAGCCUGAACCAGCCAAGUCGCGUGAGGGAGUACUGCCCUAUGGGUUGUAAACCUCUUUUGUCGGGGAGCAAAAGCCGGACGUGUCCGGCUGUGAGAGUACCCGAAGAAAAAGCAUCGGCUAACUCCGUGCCAGCAGCCGCGGUAAUACGGGGGAUGCCCGCGUUAUCCGGAUUUAUUGGGUUUAAAGGGUGCGCAGGCGGAUUUUUAAGUCAGCGGUAAAAUCGUGGGGCUCAACCCCAUCCAGCCGUUGAAACUUGGGAUCUAGAGUGUGCGAGAGGUAUGCGGAAUGCGUGGUGUAGCGGUGAAAUGCAUAGAUAUCACGCAGAACCCCGAUUGCGAAGGCAGCAUACCGGUGCACAACUGACGCUCAGGCACGAAAGCGUGGGUAUCGAACAGGAUUAGAUACCCGAGUAGUC